rnacentral:rRNA from 1 species
CACGUAGGGGACGAGCGUUGUCCGGAUUCAUUGGGCGUAAAGCGCGCGUAGGCGGCUCGGAAAGUCGGGCGUGAAAUGCCGGGGCUCAACCCCGGGACUGCGUCCGAUACUUCCGAGCUGGAGGUAGGUAGGGGGAGACCGGAAUUCCUGGUGUAGCGGUGAAAUGCGCAGAUAUCAGGAGGAACACCGGUGGCGAAGGCGGAUCUCUGGGCCUUACCUGACGCUGAGGCGCGAAAGCUAGGGGAGCGAACAGG